rnacentral:misc_RNA from 1 species
CAGAAGCACGGGUUGUUUGCGGAUUCGGUUCAUGCUCGAAAUUGAUAUUUUCUUUGUACAAAUAUUUGUUACUGGUUCGAAUGUAUGUCCUCGUGUGUCUCAACACCGUGCCUCGGAGAACACGUUAAGCCGUCGGUCCCGUUUAUCAAAUACACCUGAUAGUGAUCGGAAAUUAUAUAAUAGUUAUAGUAGAAAAUAUAUCCAUCAACCCGCAGCGGAGCGGCGUGGUGGAUUAAGCUUUGACUCUUCUUAUACAUGGAGAAAGUGGCCUAUGCCCAAUAGUGAGAGAUUACAGUGAUCGUAUCAACCUGUAAAAUCCCACUGUUGGGUAAAGGUAUCUUUUUUCCCAUGUAUAAGGAUCAGAUCUUAAUUCAUCACAAGGCUCCACUGCGGGUUGGUGGAUAUAUUCCCUACUUUGAGUAAUGAUCGCUAUCAGGUUUAUGAUAUUUAUGAUAACGACCGAAACCGACGGCUCAACGUGCUGUUCGAGGCACGGCGACGGCGGGAUGAGCCACGAACCCAGUCAUCCAAACUGGAAACAAACAUUGGUACAAACCUUGGGCGGAGCGGCAGCCUGCCCGGCGCCGGCCCCGAGCGCGCCCGACCCCGUGUGUGCGCCCGACCCGUGUGUGCGCCCGACCCGUGUGUGCGCCCGACCCGUGUGUGCGCCCGACCCGUGUGUGCCUGACCCGCGUGUGUGCCCGCAGUGCCCGGCGCGGCGGCGAGCGCGGCGGCCGGCGCGGCGCCGCUGCCCGCGCCCGCGCAGCCCGAGCCCGCGCCGCUCAUGUCGGCGCAGUACGAGCCGCUCUCCGACGAGGACUGACGCCCGCGCGCGCCCGCCUAGCGCCCCGCCCGCCCUGCGCGCCCCGCCCGCCGCGAGGAGCUUCAACGGACGACGUUCGGGUGAAACUGCGCUCGAAACGCGAUUUGACGUCGACCCCCCCCCCCCCCCCGUCCGGCGAAUAGCCUCGCUAGCGGCGCGGCGCGGAGGCACGGGGCUGGACGAUUGUACAUAGUUGUGUGAAGUGCGAGCGGGAAUCUGCGCGGGCUCGCGGGCGACUGCAGCGAGACGGUGUGAAUAUUGAAUUGUUAUUUAUUUGUUGUUUUUCACUUGUUUUGUCUUUUAAUGUCGUAGUGUCCGCGGCGGCGGGCGGCGCGGCGUCUGGUGUAGUGGCUAGGGGCUGUGGCGAAGUGAACGCUUAGUGUAAAAAUUAGCAAAUUGUGACCGGUCCGCGUCGCCCGUCGCCGACGACUCGAGCGCCGAGAUGGCUCCAUGCGAUGCACUGAGCGCUGCCGCUGCGCAUACCUCAAUAAAUAUAAGUGGCGGCCACACGUUAGCGAAACUGUAAUAUUGAUGACCCAGUCUUCCAUCUCGACACCGGUAGCGUAGGAUCGCCGCGUCUUCGUCCAUAUCUACACCUAAGUAUUUGUAAAUUGUGUAAAUGAUAGUUGUACAGUCGACCGCGGCCGUCGCUCCGCAGAUUCCUCGCUCGGUCCGGCGUUAGGCUUAAGUAUCACGCUCGACGAGUUCUUAUUUUCGUUUUGUAUAGCUUCGCUUCGGAUUCCGCCGGCGCGUCUCUCACCCGAGUUAGUAUACGCGUAGUUGAAUUAUCAUUUGUCUCGUGUAAAUAGCGCAUCGCCGAUCGUCCGUGUACAGUCGCCGCGCGGCGGAGUCCGAUAGAUGGCGUAAACGUAAAUUAUAUACAUAUUGUAAAAGCGUACGGUUAUUAUGUAUACAUUCUGUGCAUUUGUAAUUAUACAGGUUAGUUUAACGAGUACGAUAGAGAUUUUUCAUUUUCUAGUUAGGUCGGUCCGAGGGCCGGUAUAAAUAUUGAGCGGGUGAUGACUGCGAGUGCGCGCCGCCGCGACCGCGCCCCGACACCCACUGCAGGCCGCUACUGAACCUGUGUCUGUUUCCCUAAUUGUAACAAUUGACUGUGUUCAAACGAUAAUUUACAUUUGAUUGGAGUUCAUUUUUUAUAACUGUACAUUAAAGGUAAAAUAGUAUUUGUAUAGAAACAGUUUGGACACGCAAACGGGUGUGGUGUCGUUUAUGCCUUCAAACAUUGUGAACGAAACGACUGAUUAAAUUAAUUUAAAGAGCGCGAGCCGCGGCGGCUGCGGCCCUACACAUUGUGAUUUCUUUAUAAAAAUGUAACGUAUUAAGUAGUCGAAAGUGAAGAUAAUCCUUGUAAGUCCGAUCAUAAGCAAAAACAAAGUUUUGGGAGGACGAAUCAAUAAAUAUGAUGCAAACCUAUCUUGUGUUUUAUUUCCUAUAAUUUUACUUACCUAACGGUUGUGACUUAUCUUUGUAUAGAUAACUCAAGAGACUGAUCUGGAUUUAAAUAAAAUAAUGUAUUAUCGCUUGAUCAAACGAGUCUUGUCAUGGAAUCAUUAACAAAUAUUGCUUGUAUAGAGGCAGGAUGCUGAGGCCAUGGGUGUAUGGUAACUGUAUCUAGUAAAAAAAAAAUGAUACGAGGGUCAUUCAAGUAUUACGUAAGCACCGGAGGAUGGUUACGUCAACAAUAGUUAUUUAUUAUUGCUUAUUUUCUUUUUUGCAAAAUUUAGUGGCUUUUAAUUCAACCAAAUAUGGCUACAUUACUUUUCUAUAAAUAUUUUAAUUUUUUAUUAUUGCAAUAAAGUAACAUGUAUAACAAUGAAGAAACCUGAAUAUAUUUAAACAUUUAUAUACCAGUCUGCUUUAUUGCAUAGCUGGGGGAGGGGUAGCGUUUUGCUGACUUUCGCUGACAAGGGGAAGGAGGGGGCCUUCGAACUUGACGUCACUCUAAGUCGUAGUUGGUCUCAAAAUAAACAUUGAAUUACUGCCAAGUACAAGCAAUGGUAGAGAGUACGCGAGUAAGCUACGGGAAUCCUAAAAAUCGUUCGUGGACCGGAGUGACCGUGUUCUCCGCGUAUUUAGUGCUACUCAUGAUGGAGAUGUACAUUGAGUUUUAUGAAAAACAGUCCCAUCUACGUGUGUAUCGCAGAAUAUGUGAUAUCUUAGAGUACUUUUAUAAUUAUAUGUGACUAUGUUGUACAAAUAUUAUUGAUUUUAUGAUUAAAUAAAAAGUAUUUUUUCAUCAGUGUUUCAUUUUUUUGUCUUAGCACCUUUUGGAUAUUAAAAUUGUUAUUUUAUUAAGAAAAAAAGAACACGAAGUUACAAAAUAACGAAUAAUAGAUUCUUUAAUAAAUAUAUUUUUCUUCCUCUUUUCUUCUUUAUCUGAAUUUUACUAAUACUCAAUUUUGUACACCUACAAACGUCUGCUCUUGCACGUCCUAAGGUUGGCUGGUAGAGAAUGCUUUUAGCAUUAAGCCCGCCUUUUGUACAAUUCUUUAAUGUAUUGUGCAAAAAAGUAUUAAUAAUAAAUAAAUAAAUAUAUCAGAAGUAAAUAAAUGUAAACACUUACCUGAUUUAACAUCAUUAGCAUUCAAUUCAAGAUUGUUUUCAAAUUAUUUGAGUGGUAUUUAAUCACAUCAUAUAAUUUUUUGUUUUUGUUUUUCGCGCCAUCGCAUAUCGACC